UGGGGAAUAUUGCGCAAUGGGGGAAACCCUGACGCAGCAACGCCGCGUGAAUGAUGAAGGCCUUAGGGUUGUAAAGUUCUGUCUUCUGGGACGAUAAUGACGGUACCAGAGGAGGAAGCCACGGCUAACUACGUG
rnacentral:rRNA from 2 species